GUGGGUUUGGGCCCAGUCCCUAAUGCUGAACGUGCUGCUCUGUGCUCGUUCAAUAUUGAAAACAUGCAUCCAACGGACAUUGCAACUUUUCUUGAUCAACAGCAUGGUAUAGCCAUCAGAUCAGGACAUCACUGUGCGCAGCCCCUCCAUCGGGCCCUCGGUGUGAGCUCGAGCGCACGAGCUAGCCUUUACUUCUACAACACAAAAGAGGAUGUGGACUACUUUAUCCAGGCUCUAAAUGACACUGUAAGUUUCUUCGACUCCUUCAAGUAGGGAUCUGGUAAUACCAAAGCUUGUUGGUUUGGUGGGUCCACUGCAUGGAUUAUGCUCUGUUUCUUGGUUUGGUGAAGAUUGUCUUUCUUCUUGCUAUCUUGAGCUGAGCCUGUGACAUUUACUACCAGAUGUUUGCCCAUAUAAUGUUCUUGUAAAGACCACAGAUUUCUCCUAGUUUUAGACUUUAGUUUAUCUAUAAAUUAUCGAAUUAAGCUAUGCUUUCACUCA